GGCAUGGUGUAGUGGUUUGAGUGUUGGACUACAACUCUGGAGGCCAGGUUUCAAAUUCCUGCUCAGCCA